AGACGGAGGGGGCUAGCGUUGUUCGGAAUUACUGGGCGUAAAGCGCGCGUAGGCGGAUUGAUUAGUCAGAGGUGAAAUCCCAGGGCUCAACCCUGGAACUGCCUUUGAAACUGUCAGUCUUGAGUUCGAGAGAGGUGAGUGGAAUUCCGAGUGUAGAGGUGAAAUUCGUAGAUAUUCGGAGGAACACCAGUGGCGAAGGCGGCUCACUGGCUCGAUACUGACGCUGAGGUGCGAAAGCGUGGGGAGCAAACAGGAUUAGAUACCCCAGUAGUCC
rnacentral:rRNA from 1 species